AGUGAACGCUGGCGGUAGGCCUAACACAUGCAAGUCGAACGGCAGCACAGUAAGAGCUUGCUCUUACGGGUGGCGAGUGGCGGACGGGUGAGGAAUACAUCGGAAUCUACUUUUUCGUGGGGGAUAACGUAGGGAAACUUACGCUAAUACCGCAUACGACCUACGGGUGAAAGCAGGGGAUCUUCGGACCUUGCGCGAUUGAAUGAGCCGAUGUCGGAUUAGCUAGUUGGCGGGGUAAAGGCCCACCAAGGCGACGAUCCGUAGCUGGUCUGAGAGGAUGGUCAGCCACACUGGAACUGAGACACGGUCCAGACUCCUACGGGAGGCAGCAGUGGGGAAUAUUGGACAAUGGGCGCAAGCCUGAUCCAGCCAUACCGCGUGGGUGGAGAAGGCCUUCGGGUUGUAAAGCCCUUUUGUUGGGAGAGAAAAGCAGCAGGUUAAUACCCCGCUGUUCUGACGGUACCCAAAGAAUAAGCACCGGCUAACUUCGUG
rnacentral:rRNA from 1 species